rnacentral:rRNA from 1 species
CCUACGGGAGGCAGCAGUUAGGGAUUUUGGUCAAUGGACGCAAGUCUGAACCAACCAUGCCGCGUGGAGGAUGCAGGCCCUCUGGGUUGUAAACUUCUUUUAUUGGGGAAGAAACCCAUCUUUUCUAAGGUGGUUGACGGUACCCGAUGAAUAAGCACCGGCUAACUCCGUGCCAGCAGCCGCGGUAAU